rnacentral:lncRNA from 8 species
AUGUCAGAGAUGAACGGAUCGUUUUUGCGUCCUUUGAACUUUGGCCUCACCACCCGAUGUCACAGGAAGGCGAAAAAGAUCAAGGAUGACAACCACCCGAGCCACUGCCUGUUCACCCCGCUAUCAUCCAGAAGGCGAGGUCAGUACAGGUGCAUCAAAGCUGGGACCAAGAGACUGAAAAACAGCUUCUAUCUCAAGUAAAUCAGACUGUUAAACAGCCAUCACUAACAUUGAGUGGCUGCUGCCAACAUACUGACUCAACUCCAGCCACUUUAAUAAUGGAAAAAUGUAUGUGAUAACUGUAUCACUAGCCACUUUAAACAAUGCCACUUCAUAUAAUGUUUACAUACCCUACAUUACUCAUCUCAUAUGUAUAUACUGUACUCUAUACCAUCUACUGCAUCUUGCCAUCUUGAUGUAAUGUAUCACUACCCACUUUAAACAAUGCCACUUUAUAUAAUGUUUACAUAUCCUACAUUACUCAUCUCAUAUGUAUAUACUGUACUCUAUACCAUCUACUGCAUCUUGCCUAUGCCGUUCGGCCAUCACUCAUUCAUAUAUUUUUUGUAUGUACAUAUUCUUAUUCAUUCCUUUACACUUGUGUGUAUGAGGUAAUUGUUGUGAAAUUGUUAGGUUAGAUUACUCGUUGGAUAUUACUGCAUUGUCGGAACUAGAAGCACAAGCAUUUCUCUACACUCGCAUUAACAUCUGCUAACCCUAUGUAUGUGACAAAUAAAAUUUGAUUUGAUCAAUGCAACAAAUUCCAAGCAUCCCUCUACCCCAAAAAGCCAAAGCAAAAGGUUGAAGUGCACUUAUUUCUCCAAAUAAACAAUCAAAUCUAAAACCUAUCAUGAACCUCUCAAAGGCAAACUAAUAAACAUACACACCCCCACCAUUCCUAUCUUUGUGGUGCUGAGAAUAAAAACAAUAAAAUGAAACAGAUUACUCUUCUACACAUGACUAUUUUGUUUUGGUAAAGUUGACCUUGUCUUUACAACCUAGGAAAGGGGGCAGCUUGACCAAAACAUUGACAAAGUAAUUUAAGAGCUAAUGAUGUUUCAUUGACCUCCUUAUGAGACCAC